AGUGAACGCUGGCGGUAGGCCUAACACAUGCAAGUCGAACGGCAGCACAGUAGGAGCUUGCUCUUACGGGUGGCGAGUGGCGGACGGGUGAGGAAUACAUCGGAAUCUACUUUUUCGUGGGGGAUAACGUAGGGAAACUUACGCUAAUACCGCAUACGACCUACGGGUGAAAGCAGGGGAUCUUCGGACCUUGCGCGAUUGAAUGAGCCGAUGUCGGAUUAGCUAGUUGGCGGGGUAAAGGCCCACCAAGGCGACGAUCCGUAGCUGGUCUGAGAGGAUGAUCAGCCACACUGGAACUGAGACACGGUCCAGACUCCUACGGGAGGCAGCAGUGGGGAAUAUUGGACAAUGGGCGCAAGCCUGAUCCAGCCAUACCGCGUGGGUGAAGAAGGCCUUCGGGUUGUAAAGCCCUUUUGUUGGGAAAGAAAAGCAGCAGGUUAAUACCCCGCUGUUCUGACGGUACCCAAAGAAUAAGCACCGGCUAACCUCGUG
rnacentral:rRNA from 1 species